rfam:Lupinus angustifolius cultivar Tanjil contig_6051, whole genome shotgun sequence.
CGAGAGAUUUUUUGUAUUGAUGUUGUGCUUUGAUAAAUGCACUCUUCUGAAAGAGUUCCAGGCAAAAUUAUUUUGUGAAAAUGAGCAGUUCUGUUUCAUCUUUGUAUUUAAAUUUUAAAAUCACAAUAAUCAUUUGCUCACAUCC